rnacentral:rRNA from 1 species
AUUGAACGCUGGCGGCAGGCCUAACACAUGCAAGUCGAGCGAGCGGCGGACGGGUGAGAAAUGUCUGGGAAACUGCCUGAUGGAGGGGGAUAACUACUGGAAACGGUAGCUAAUACCGCAUACCAGCAGAUGUGCCCAGAUGGGAUUAGCUGGUAGGUGGGGUAACGGCUCACCUAGGCGACGAUCCCUAGCGGGUCUGAGAGGUGGACAAGCCACACUGGAACUGAGUCACGGUCCAGACACCUACGGGAGGAAGCAGGGGGGAAGAUUGCACAAUGGGGGCAAGCCUGAUGCAGCCAUGCCGCGUGUGUGAAGAAGGCCGUCGGGUUGUAAAGCACAUUCAGCGGUGAGGCGUGACCCGCAGAAGAAGCACCGGCUAACUCCGUGCGAGCAGCCGCGGUAAUAC